rnacentral:lncRNA from 1 species
GGUUACAUAUCGAUGAAUUCUAAUGCCUGAUUACCCAUCGAAUUUGGACUCAAUAUUUAUGAGAGAUUUUAUUAGUGAUUUGAUCACUAAUUAACUUAAUUUGAUUUAGUAAUUAUUUUUAGAUCAAGUCCAAUUGAAUUGGAUUCAGUUGGGUUUGACCCGAUUAGGUUAAGAGUUGACCUAAUCGUCGAGAUGGUUUGGUCUCUGAUUUGAUCAGGGGUUGGGCUUAGUCAAUUCCUGAUUUGAUUAGAAUUUUAAUGAGCCUAAUUAAGUCUAAUUAAGUUGGGUUUAAAUUAGUCUAAUUGGACUUAACUUAUUUGGUUCAAUUAGGUUGGUUUAAAUAUUGAAACCACCUUGACCCAAUCUCCAUGCGCCACCUCACUUUCAUUGCACCCAUUUGAAUUCAUGAGAAGGAACUUCUCAUGAAUUUUUUUUUCACGCCAAGUCCUCUCCACACCCCACUUUAAUGUGCCAAAUGAAUGGAUAAGGAUGAUUGGUUGGCCAUUCAAAUUCAAAAUAAAGUUUGAAUUUGAAUGGGCAAUCAAUCUUUGCACCUUAUCCCUUUUUUUACGCCCCAUUUAUUACAUGAGAAAAGG